rnacentral:tRNA from 1 species
CUUGAUUAAGUAUAAGAUAGUAUAUUUAUUUUUCGUAUAAAAGGUGUAGUUUUCUACAAUCAAGU